rnacentral:rRNA from 1 species
GACGAACGCUGGCGGCGUGCUUAACACAUGCAAGUCGAACGCUGAAGCUCAGCUUUUGUUGGGUGGAUGAGUGGCGAACGGGUGAGUAACACGUGAGUAACCUGCCUCCUUCUUUGGGAUAACGCCCGGAAACGGGUGCUAAUACUGGAUAUUCACUGGUCUUCGCAUGGGGGUUGGUGGAAAGGGUUUUUCUGGUGGGGGAUGGGCUCGCGGCCUAUCAGCUUGUUGGUGGGGUGAUGGCCUACCAAGGCUUUGACGGGUAGCCGGCCUGAGAGGGUGACCGGUAACAUUGGGACUGAGAUACGGCCCAGACUCCUACGGGAGGCAGCAGUGGGGAAUAUUGAACAAUGGGCGCAAGCCUGAUGCAGCGACGCCGCGUGAGGGAUGGAGGCCUUCGGGUUGUGAACCUCUUUCGCUCAUGGUCAAGCCGCAACAAUGGUUGUGGUGAGGGUAGUGGGUAAAGAAGCGCCGGCUAACUACGUG